UUCAUCUGGGGCCGGUUGUUCAAAAGCCGAUUAGCUUAACCCUAGGUUAACUUAAAAUUCAAAGUACACUUCCUAACAGCUUGUUUUUAAAUUUGGAAAUAUUUCUUCACAAAUUAUGUCUGGUUCAAUAGAAGUUUUCUUUUCUGACAUUUCGAAAUAAAUGGGCAUGCAGAAAUAUGCAAACUAAAACAGCGGGUUAAAUUUUACCCUGGGUUAGCGCUAAUCGACCUUUGAACAACCGGCCCCUGCAAUAGACCUUUAUAAAAAGGUUGACGUCAGCAGGCUUGUGACGUAGUUUGCGGAGGAAAUCCCGAAA